rnacentral:rRNA from 1 species
GGGCGUAAGCGUGCGUAGGUGGUUUGUUAAGUCUGAUGUGAAAGCCCUGGGCUCAACCUGGGAAUGGCAUUGGAAACUGGCUUACUAGAGUGCGGUAGAGGGUAGUGGAAUUCCCGGUGUAGCAGUGAAAUGCGUAGAUAUCGGGAGGAACAUCUGUGGCGAAGGCGACUACCUGGACCAGCACUGACACUGAGGCACGAAAGCGUGGGGAGCAAACAGGAUUAGAUACCCUGGUAGUCCACGCCCUAAACGAUGCGAACUGGAUGUUGGGAGCAACUUGGCUCUCAGUAUCGAAGCUAACGCGUUAAGUUCGCCGCCUGGGAAGUACGGUCGCAAGACUGAAACUCAAAGGAAUUGACGGGGGCCCGCACAAGCGGUGGAGUAUGUGGUUUAAUUCGAUGCAACGCGAAAAACCUUACCUGGUCUUGACAUCCACGGAACUUUCCAG